UUUCCCACAGACGCGCAUGAACAUCACUGUGCUUUUAGUUGACUGCUCUCAGUGCCUCCCCUCCUAGACAGAAGCCCCUCUCAGGCUCACUCUCACCUCUGAGGUGAUGCUAAGAUCACCUGUUUAUCCUCAGGGCUGCUAGGAUAUAACAUGCUCAAGAAAUGCCUGUGGAAUAAUAAGAGAGGCCACUCUCGCACUCUCUUCCCAUCGGGGCAGGCACCUGUUGAAGAAAGAGAGGAUUUGAGAGGAAGGGGUCAGUGGGGUGGGGGGACAUCGAAGCUCAGAGACUGGCAUGGAGGGCUGCCCACCCCCGCCUAUAAAAAGAGAAGCCCCUAGGAAAGGCAUCGACAGCCCACCCAGAGCAGUGUCUCUGAUGAGGAAGGACCAGUGUGGACGCCAGCAUUCUUCCUGGAGCAGCAUCUGUCUGGACAGAGUUGUUCUCUGCUGGUGCCAGCCCUGACAUCAUCCUGCAAGCUUGUCACACCGGUUCCUAUCCAGCUACAAAGGCCUCUCCUUGCUCCCUGCUCACACCAGCCAGCCCAUCAUGGACUGCUGUAUUGCAUAUAUCUGCGCGGCAUCAUGGGACUUCUUAAAGUCAAAUUCAGCCAUACAAGCCCUCCCUGUUGGUGUCAUUGUCAGUGUGCAAUUUGAUGUCCCUCAAGCACUCAGCACCACCUCACCUUGCGUGCCUGUCUACUCAUUUGCCAGGUAAAGGUGGUACCGAGGCCUUCUCCUCCCCCACCCCCCCCCACCCAUCCUAUGCCGUUCUGGGAAUUGAUUCCAGGGCUGUCUAUCACUGAGAUACAUCCUGAGUCCCCUUUGUACAUUAAUUUUGUGACAGAGUCACUAGAUUGUCUAAUCCUGUAAUCCUCCUGCCUCGGCCUCCCCAUGACUGGCAUCCCAAGCCUGUGCCACCAUGCCCAUUCACCUGGCUUCUUAACCAAGAAAAUCUGCUGAGACAGAAGACCAGGGGAGGGGAGUCUGUGAACUUGAACAGAGAAACAUGACGUCAUUAUUUUUACUCACCUCUCGCUGCAGUUUAGCAGUUGAUUCAAUUACAAAUCUAGG